rnacentral:tRNA from 1 species
UACAUUUUAGUGUAAGGUGCACCAAAAUUUUUGAUAUUUUAAGAUUACAGUUUGAUUCUGUUAAAUGUAU